rnacentral:rRNA from 1 species
AGUGAACGCUGACGGUAGGCCUAACACAUGCAAGUCGAACGGCAGCACAGUAAGAGCUUGCUCUUACGGGUGGCGAGUGGCGGACGGGUGAGGAAUACAUCGGAAUCUACUUUUUCGUGGGGGAUAACGUAGGGAAACUUACGCUAAUACCGCAUACGACCUACGGGGGAAAGCAGGGGAUCUUCGGACCUUGCGCGAUUGAAUGAGCCGAUGUCGGAUUAGCUAGUUGGCGGGGUAAAGGCCCACCAAGGCGACGAUCCGUAGCUGGUGUGAGAGGAUGGUCAGCCACACUGGAACGGGGACACGGUCCAGACUCCUAAGGGAGGCAGCAGUGGGGAAUAUUGGACAAUGGGGGCAAGCCUGAUCCAACCAUACCGCGUGGGUGAAGAAGGCCUUCGGGUUGUAAAGCCCUUUUGUUGGGAAAGAAAAGCAGCAGGUUAAUACCCCGCUGUUCUGACGGUACCCAAAGAAUAAGCACCGGCUAACUUCGUG